rnacentral:rRNA from 1 species
AUGGUCCCACGGUUCAACCACCGACGGGAAGGAAGCACGUGCGACGUUGUUGUAGAGAAGAAGAAGAAAAAAAAAGGGUUUCCACGCGUCUGGCCAGUUGGUCUAAAAUCGGGCUGGCCUGCUGGAGCCUGGUCCUCUCCCAGCGCAUUGUUGAUUGAUUCACGGCAAGAGCGAGCGAGACGCCAAGAACUCGGACGGGGAAGUCGUGAGGCCGCCUGCCUCCGCCCGCCCAGGACUCGAUCUCGAUCCCCGCCGACAAGCGGAUCCCCCGUCCUCCCGCCCGCGCCCGCCCAGGAUUCGAUCUCGAUCCCCGCCGACAAGCCGAUCCCCCGUCCUCCUGCCUGCGAGAGAGAUCGGACGCCGCGGGAGCGCCCGGAUCCCGCCAUGAAUCCCGAGUAUGAUUACCUCUUCAAGCUUUUGCUUAUUGGAGACUCAGGUGUUGGCAAGUCAUGUCUGCUGUUAAGAUUUGCUGACGACUCAUACCUGGAUAGUUACAUCAGUACUAUUGGAGUUGAUUUUAAAAUACGGACCGUGGAGCAGGACGGAAAGACUAUCAAGUUGCAAAUCUGGGACACUGCUGGGCAAGAACGUUUUAGAACUAUUACCAGCAGCUACUACCGAGGGGCCCAUGGGAUUAUUAUUGUCUAUGACGUGACAGACCAAGAUAGCUUCAACAAUGUGAAGCAGUGGCUCAACGAGAUUGACCGCUAUGCCAGUGAGAAUGUGAACAAGCUUCUCGUGGGGAACAAAUGUGAUCUGGCUGACAAAAGAGCUGUGUCAUAUGAAACAGCAAAGGCAUUUGCUGAUGAGAUUGGCAUCCCAUUCAUGGAGACCAGUGCAAAGAACGCCCUGAAUGUUGAACAGGCUUUCAUGGCCAUGGCUGCUUCGAUCAAGGAUAGGAUGGCGAGCCAGCCAGCCGCAAACAACGCUCGCCCAGCUACUGUACAGAUCCGCGGGCAACCUGUCGAGCAGAAGGCCAGCUGCUGCUCUUCUUAG